CAAUAGCGUAUAUUAAAGUUGUUGCAGUUAAAAAGCUCGUAGUUGGAUUUCUGGUGGGAGCGAUCGGUCUGGCGCUUAGCGCGAGUACUUGCAUCGUCUCCGGCCAUCCUUGGGGAGAGUCUGUCUGGCAUUAAGUUGUCGGGCAGAGGAUCCUCAUCGUUUACUGUGAAAAAAUUAGAGUGUUCAAAGCAGGCUUACGCCGUUGAAUAUAUUAGCAUGGAAUAAUAAGAUAGGACUUUGGUACUAUUUUGUUGGUUUGCGCACCAAAGUAAUGAUUAAUAGGGACAGUUGGGGGUAUUCGUAUUCCGUUGUCAGAGGUGAAAUUCUUGGAUUUACGGAAGACGAACUACUGCGAAAGCAUUUACCAAGGAUGUUUUCAUUAA
rnacentral:rRNA from 1 species